rnacentral:rRNA from 1 species
GCAGUCGCGGUUAAACCAAGAUGAUCGAGUCAUAUCACUUUGGUGAAAAAACAGUUAAAUUAAAUUCAUGUUUAUUAAACGUUUAUAGAAAAGUAAAAUUUGGUCAUAAACAAGAAAUCUAAUUUAAACUUAAAUAUUGAAGCUGUGAAAGCCUCGAGGGAAACUGGGAUUAGAUACCCCAUUAUUCUUGGAUGUAAACUGAUUUUUAUCUACCAGAGCACUAUGAAUUAAAUAUUUAAAACUUAAAGGGCUUGGCGGUGUUUUAGACCUCUCAGGGGAACCUGUCUCAUAAUCGACAAUCCACGGUAAACCUAACCCUUUUUCGUGUACCAGCUUGUAUACCGUCGUCGCCAGGUAACUUUUUAGAAAAAAGAAGUUAGCAAGAAAAUAAAAUAGGUUUUUACGUCAGAUCAAGGUGCAGCUAAUAAAAGGGGGAGGAUGGGUUACAAUUAUAAAAUUAUAACAACGAAAAGUUAUUUGAAAUAAAAACAGGAAGGAGGACUUGAAAGUAAGACGGAAUAUAUAAACGUUCUGAAUAAGGCUCUGAAACGUGCACACAUCGCCCG